rfam:Lactobacillus mellifer strain Bin4 genomic scaffold Bin4_scaffold1, whole genome shotgun sequence.
GGGGAUGUUAUGGAUUCGACAUAUGUAGUUGAGCAUCGGUUGCAUUUCGUAGGUUACGACUACGUAAAAACGUUACAGUUAAAUUAUAACUGCAAAAAAUAAUAACAACUCUUACGCUUUAGCUGCUUAAUCACAGUCUAGGCGUGAUCCACUUAAUUUUGUCCAAGGAUUAAGUUUGGGUCUCAAAUAAUUGGACUACGUUUGACUAUGCCGCCUGAGUAGUUAAAAAGAGAUUAUCCAGGCUAGUCGCUAAGAUUAGCCACGUUGUACGGCGUACUGGGCGAUAAACUUUAAAUGGUGCAACUAUGAAUGUAGAUACUGGUGUGGCAGUAUGUAUGGACAGGAGUUCGAUUCUCCUCAUCUCCAUUU